rnacentral:rRNA from 1 species
UAUAUAUAUAUAUUAAAAAUAGUUAUAAAAUUUAAAUUUUUAGUAUUAAUUAUAGAAAAAAUAAUAUAAAUUAUAGUUUAUUAGUAUUGAAAAAGAAAAUUGAAAUAUUAUGAAAAAUUAUAAUUAAAAAAGAAAAAUUUAUUUUUUGUACCUUGUGUAUCAGGGUUUAUUAAAUAAUAUUUAAAAAUUUAAAUUUCUCGAUUUUAAAAGAUUUAAUAUAUUAAUAAAUAUAAAGUAAUAAAUUUAUUUUUAAUAAUAUAUUUGAAAUGAAAUGUUUUUCGUUUUUAAAGGUAUCUAGUUUUUUAAGAAAUAAAUUUAAUUUAUAAAUUUUAUAUUAUUUAUUUAAUUUAAAAAAUAAAUAAUUAUUUAAUUUAAAUAUUUUAUGGGAUAAGCUAUAAAAUAAAAAUUUAAAAAUAAUAAUAAUAAUUUAAUAAAAUAUAGGGUUAAAAUUAUUCAAUAUUAAAGAAAAUUUAAUAAUUUAUUAUUAAUAAAAUAAUAAUUUUAUAAUUAUUAAUUAUUUAUUAAUAUAUAAUUUUUAAUUAUAAUAAAUUAGAAAUAAUGAUAAAAUUAGUAUAAUAAUUUAUAUAAAUAAUUUGAAUUUAAAAUUUUUUUUAAAGAAUUCGGCAAAUAUUUAUAUUCACCUGUUUAACAAAAACAUCUCUUUAUGAUUAAAUAUAAAGUUUAACCUGCCCACUGAAAAUUUAAAUGGCUGCAGUAUAUUGACUGUACAAAGGUAGCAUAAUCAUUAGUUUUUUAAUUGAGAACUGGAAUGAAUGGUUGGAUGAAAUAUAAACUGUUUCAAAAAAAAUAUAUUAGAAUUUUAUUUUUUAGUAAAAAAGCUAAAAUUUAUUUAAAAGACGAGAAGACCCUAUAAAUCUUAUAUAUAAUAUUAUAAAUAUAAAAUUAAUUAGAAGAUUUUAAUAUAUUUAUUUUUUAUAUUUUGUUGGGGAGAUAGUAAAAUUUAAUAAACUUUUAUUAUUUAUAAAUACAUUGAUUUAUGAAUUAUUGAUUAAUUAUUAAUGAAUAAAAAAAUAAGUUACUUUAGGGAUAACAGCGUAAUUAUUUUGGAGAGUUCAUAUUGAUAAAAUAGAUUGCGACCUCGAUGUUGGAUUAAGAAAAAUUUUAGGUGUAGAAGCUUAAUAAUUAAGUCUGUUCGACUUUUAAAUUCUUACAUGAUCUGAGUUCAAACCGGUGUAAGCCAGGUUGGUUUCUAUCUUUAAUUAUUUAUAAUAUUAUAGUACGAAAGGAUUUAAUAUUAAAUAAAUUAUUAUUUAAUAUAUUG